AAACCAGUUGUAAGGAGAAUGGAGGCAGCAGUGAGAGUGGAGUCCGGGGUCCUGGUCGGGGUGGUCUGUCUGCUCCUGGCAUGCCCUGCCACAGCCACUGGGCCCGAAGUUGCUCAGCCUGAAGUAGACACCACCCUGGGUCGUGUGCGAGGCCGACAGGUGGGCGUGAAGGGCACAGACCGCCUUGUGAAUGUCUUUCUGGGCAUUCCAUUUGCCCAGCCGCCACUGGGGCCUGACCGCUUCUCAGCCCCACACCCAGCACAGCCCUGGGAGGGUGUGCGGGAUGCCAGCGCCGCGCCCCCAAUGUGAGUAGUGCUGGUGGAGGCGGGCAAACAGGCAGGUUGCAGGAGAAUCCUGCUGCUGGGGCUUGUGGGGCUGAACCGCUGGACCUCAGGCCCACCCUUGGCCACAGGUGCCUACAAGACGUGGAGAGCAUGAACAACAGCAGAUUUGUCCUCAACGGAAAACAGCAGAUCUUCUCUGUUUCAGAGGACUGCCUGGUCCUCAACAUCUAUAGCCCAGCUGAGGCCACCG
rnacentral:sRNA from 1 species